AACGAACGCUGGCGGCAUGCCUAACACAUGCAAGUCGAACGAGACCUUCCGGUCUAGUGGCGCAGGGGUGCGUAACGCGGGGGAACCUGCCAUUAGGUUCGGAAUAACUCCCCGAAAGGGGUGCUAAUACCGGAUAAUGUCUUCGGACCAAAGAUUUAUCGCCUUUGGGUGGGGCCUCGUUGGUUUAGCUGGUGGGGAGGGUAAAAGCAUACCAAGGCGACGAUGCAUAGCUGGUCUGAGAGGAUGAUCAGCCACACUGGGACUGAGACACGGCCCCGACCCCUACGGGAGGCAGGAGUGGGGAAUAUUGGACAAUGGGCGAGAGCCUGAUCCAGCAAUGCCGCGUGAGUGAUGAAGGCCUUAGGGUUGUAAAUCUCUUUUACCCGGGAUGAUAAUGACAGUACCGGGAGAAUAAGCACCGGCUAACUCCGUG
rnacentral:rRNA from 1 species